UACGUAGGGAGCAAGCGUUGUUCGGAAUUACUGGGCGUAAAGGGCUCGUAGGCGGCCAACUAAGUCGGAUGUGAAAUCCCCAGGCUUAACCUGGGAACUGCAUCCGAUACUGGAAGGCUUGAAUCCGGGAGAGGGAUGCGGAAUUCCAGGUGUAGCGGUGAAAUGCGUAGAUAUCUGGAGGAACACCGGUGGCGAAGGCGGCAUCCUGGACCGGUAUUGACGCUGAGGCGCGAAAGCCAGGGGAGCAAACGGG
rnacentral:rRNA from 1 species